rnacentral:rRNA from 1 species
CGUCUAUAUACGUAUAGCAUAUCAAUAAGCGGAGGAAAAGAAACUAACUAAGGAUUCCCUCAGUAACGGCGAGUGAAGCGGGAAGAGCUCAAAUUUGAAAUCUUCAAGGUUCUACCUUGACGAAUUGUAGUUUAAAGAAGUGUUUUCUGUUGGAGUUUUGGUAAAAGUUCUUUGGAAUAGGACAUCAUAGAGGGUGAGAAUCCGUAUUUGACCAUUAUUUCCAACUUUGUGAUACACUUUCAAAGAGUCGGAUUGUUUGGGAAUGCAGUCCAAAAUGGGUGGUAAAUUUCAUCUAAAGCUAAAUAUUGGCGAGAGACCGAUAGCGAACAAGUACCGUGAGGGAAAGAUGAAAAGAACUUUGAAAAGAGAGUUAAACAGUACGUGAAAUUGUCAAAAGGGAAGCGUUUGACACCAGUGUUGUUUUCUCGAAAAUCAAUUAAAAAGUGCUGGAUUUUGUGUUGUAUUGACUUUAUCAGCUUUCUGCACUUUUUUCUGUCUUUUUUAAUGCACUUUUCGUUUAACAAGUCAACAUCAAUUUCUUUUGUUGUAAAAGGGUCAUUGGAAGGUGGCUUUCUUUUCGGAGAAAGUGUUUAUAGCCUUUGACUUCUGCAAUCGGAGAGAUUGAGGUCUGCAGCGUAGAUCCUUCGGGGUUAGAUAGCAUUUGUGCUAAGUUAUAGCCUUUUCAUAGACAACAUGUUGACUAUGAUUAAGUCAUGUAGCUUACUCGCUUAUGCUAUUUUACCUACGCUUAGGAUGUUGACGAUCAGCUGAGCGCG